CUCUCUCCACCCUAGUAGUGUGUUUCUGAUAAGGAACUGGGCACUAGCAUACUUCGCCCUUUUCCCUCCUUCUUGUUUCUUAGGAGGAAAGCUACCCAAAGGAAGCUUCCAUUCCUCUUUGUUCCUUCUUGUUUUACGUAUUACAAGGGCAGGCUCUGUCCUUGAGGAAGAGACAUCCGGUGGUUCAGCACUGCUAAUGACUGAGGGGGUGACUGCCUAAUUCUGAGGAGCAGUGUGAAGAAGACCGUUUGCUCACAAAUAUAAGUCAUAUAUACUACAUCAGUUUUAUCACUUAUUAAGGCCCCCAGGAGUUUCUCACCUCAAGCUAGUCCAUGCUCAGCCUCCAGCAGUUAAUCAAAAUUAUUCCUUGAGUGUUCCUACCAGUUUAUGGCUCCAGCAGCUUCUGCUCCAGUGUGUUCAGCCUUGAAGACUCAGAGGUGAGCACCACAGAGGUUCUGGUUCUCAGAGCCCACAUUCCAUCGCCGGAGGCAAGAUUAUAAACUAAGAUGGAUGAGAGGCACACCCUGAGAAGUACGUGAGUAGUGAAGUGUUGGAAGUGCUGUGUGACUGGUGGAGGGUGGGAAGCAUUCUGUAGGGUGGAGGAGCCUUAGGGGUGGUGGAAAGGCCUGGGAGGCUUCAGAGAAGGUAACAGUUGAGAUGGAUUUUGAAAGACUGAAAAGGAAUUUAUCAACAGAAAAAGACAGAAUAGUGUGGGUGGUUUUGAGGAGAGAGGUUUAACCCAACAUUUUGGCUCUAGA
rnacentral:lncRNA from 1 species